rnacentral:misc_RNA from 1 species
AAAUUAUCCAUAUCUAACAUAUUACUCAUACGAGUUUUGCCGUCAGACAUGAUCGCCAUAAUAAAAAUUGUUAAUAAAAAAUCAAAUCAUUUCUCUUCGACAACUUAUAUCUACUGAUCAGCUGAUCUGUCAAAACAACAAACCAGCUGGAUGGAUUUAAUGGCUUUUGUCCCCCAUUUUACGGAAGUGCCAAUUUUCGAGCAUGUUCCAGUUACAGAGCAUAUCUGUGAACAACCGAAAGAAGAAGAUGAGAUAAUGGCUAUUAGAAAAGGAAAUCGGAUUUUGGAUAAGUUGAGUCGUUGGUUUAUGAGACAACGUGUUUUACAUAAAAAGCAUCCUUUAACUCGCUGGUGUGUCAAAAGUACAACUGCAGUUAAUUAUGAAAUUUCGAGACACCUCAAAUCACAUCCUUAUAUGAUACAUCCUUUUAGUUCAUUCAGAAUUGUUUGGGAUUCAAUAAUGAUUAUAUUCACAUUUGUGGCUCUUCUGAUCACUCCAAUAAUCAUCACAUUUUAUUUUGAUGAACUCUUUACCUAUUUUGUGAUUAACGAUAUAAUAAAUAUAGUCUUUUUAUGUGAUAUUAUCAUGUGGUUCUUCACGGGUUAUUAUGAUUAUCAAACGAAACUUACUGUUCUUGAUCCUAUGAUUGUAGCACGGAAAUAUUUGCAAAGUUAUUUCCUAAUAGAUUUUUUGCCCAUAUUACCCAUAGGAAUCUUCAUUUUUAUUGUACCUAAUUCAAUAUGGUACUGUGCUACAUUAAAUAUGAUGAAAUUAUUAAGAAUUCGCAAUAUUCUUGCUUGUUCUAAAAGACUUCGCGACGUAUACAGAAUAUAUUUUCAAUUACAUAAAAUUUUGGAUACGUGCGUGGUUAUUAUAAUAUGUAUUCACUGGGCUGCUUGUCUAGAAUAUUAUGUUCCUCUAUCUGUAUAUGUUUUAGGCACUUUAAGUAAUGAGUCUUGGAUCAAUUCAUCGUAUUUUCAAAACAGGGAAACAACAGCAAAGAAAUAUCUAAUGUGCUUGCAUCGUUCGCUUAUCGCCUUUUCUCGUUCUUGCCAUUUUUUAGAUAUGAAAACGACAGAAGAUAUUAUAUUAAAUAUGAUCUUAAUGAUAGUUGGAUGUUUUGGUGCCAUAUUUUUAUUAACGCAAUUCUCACAAUUAAUAACAACGUUUCAUAUAACAAUUAAACAUAAUUUGAGGCUGAUAGCACAGUUGUUAGAAUAUAUGCGAUACAAAGAGCUUCCAUCUGCUUUACAACUUCGUUUAUUAACAUUUUAUCAUUAUCGCAAUAAAAUAGGUUUCGAAAGAAAUCAGAAAAUCAUACAGGAAGUUUCACCUUAUUUGCGGGAGGAAAUCAUUUUGCAUAAUUAUUUGAAAUUCGUUAAAAACGUAGAAUUAUUUAAGCAUCUACCAAAACAUAUAAUAGUACAGUUAACAGGUGCAUUACAAUCCGAAAUCUAUAUAGCUGGUGAUGAAAUAGUUAAAGCUGGCACCCGUGGCGAAGCUUUGUAUUUCAUUUCUUCUGGAACAGUAGCUGUUUACAAUUCUGCAGGAAAAGAAAUUUGUCAUUUGGAAGAUGAAAGUUAUUUUGGUGAAAUUGCCUUGGUAAUGGAUACCGAGCAUAGAAUAGCAACUAUAGUUGCGGUGGAAACUUGUGAAAUAUACGUGUUAUAUCGCCACGAUUUCCGAAGAUUUAUAGCACCAUAUCCUGAUCUCUUAAACCGUUUGCAAAAUAUUGCUCUUGAAAAUUUGAAUCAAAGUCUUCUUAUAGAUUCAGAGAAUUUAGAAAUCUUUUUCAUGCCGCAAUAUGUUAAUAUAAGUACUAUACAACAAUAAACAGAAGCUUUAGAAGUAGAACUAUGCUGAACAAGAGUAAAUAUGGCUGGCGCGACUCCACCUUUUGAACCAUCAAUAUGCAUAUUAUUUAUAGUUACGUAUCGAUCAUUGGAAUAAUGCCAUUCCCCUUCUACUGCGAAAACCUUGACAUAAAAUAUUAGAGCGCGUCUUUAAAUAUUUCUGAACGCAGUUGCUCAUAAUAUGUAAAUCCUAAAUCAUUUCUUUUUACAAUUUCUUAUUAAAUUAAAAAAUAAAUAUAUUAACGAAAACUUGAAAUAAAUAUUAAAUAUAUAAGGAAUUCACAAUAGAUUUUGUAAAAGAAUAUUAAAUAAAGAUUUUAAAAAAGAAAGUAAUUUCUAUUUUUAUUUAUAACAAAGUGGACUGCCAUAAUGUAAAAAAAUAUUACUAUUGUGCUACUAAAAUGAUUAAUUUCAACAAAUGUAGUCUUGAGAUAAAUGGUAAAUCCAAG